rnacentral:tRNA from 1 species
UAGUAGAGUAAGCUAAGUAAUUAAGCUGUCGGGUUCAUACCCCGAACAUGAAACUAAUGUAUCCUCUAUUAA